CUUUAAAUGAAAAGAUACGAGGUGUUCCAAGUAAGAACAUGACGUCCCUGUUGAAAGGUUCUACAUCACGUCUAUUAUCCUAUAUCAAACUCAAUUGGAUAAAAAAAUCCACAUAUCGCAAUUGUAGUUUUUUAGCUUGUCGUGGAUAUAUCGAAGAAGCUUUAGAACAAGCUAAAUCCAAUGACAUUGAUUUUGUUCCAUAUCGCAUAAGAGGAUAUGUACUUGGAAACAAAUUUUCGAAUGCUAAUGUAGACAUAGUACAAUAUUUAGAAGAUGUUGACGGAUGUGUAAGGGACCCAUCAUCGGUAACUAAAAUGGAGCUAGAAAAUGGAAAUGUUUUCACCAGUUCUUUAAAAUUCAGUGCAUUAUAUAAUAAGGCAUUCGAGAGUUUGGAAAGAAAAUAUAAAAAUGAAGAAAAUAAACUUGAAUUCAUCAACGAUGAGAAAUUGCAGUUUGCCAUUCAGUCUUUUGUCAGUGGUUUUUUGGUUCAAAAAGAACAUCAUGAGAGAUGCCUUAGGUCUGUUCUUGAAACCAAUGAAGAGAGAAAAAUUACUGUGCUAUUAGCAAACCAUUUAUUUUCAAGACUUGUUGCUACCACUCCAGGAAAUACGUACUUCAUUACUAAUGACCAUUUUAAGAAAUUUGAGUUAUGUCCUUGUGAAGAUCAAUGUGGUGACAAGAUAUGGUAUGGUAAUUCUGGAAUAGGUUCAGAAUUAUUAUGGUAUGGUAAACCAGAUAUAAUGGUAUUUCCCCUUGGUGGAAGCUGUAGUAUAGUGUUGCCUAAAGAAAAGAAAAAGGAGAUGUAUAUUGAUGAGGAAAAACAACUAAUUGAAGUAAAAAAAGAAUCAAACUUAUUAAGGGGGCAUACAAAUGUUAGCCAGUUUGUGUCACAAACAGUUACAUUUUCUUUUUAUCAGAAAGGCUUUCAGCUUAGAAAACCCAAGUCUUUUCCUCAGAUAGUUACAAUGAUACCAACUAUUGCAAUAAGUGAUAAAUGCUUUGAUGUUUACAUGUAUGAUACUGAAAACGAUAUUCUCUUAAGAAAUGAUGGGGAUCCAAUACCCUUAUGGAACAAUUUAGACAAUCCAUGUGAUGCAACAUUAAACAUGGGUGCAGUUCUUCAGCUAUGGAUGCUGAUUAAUCACUUAAGUGUUCAACCAAAUCUUUCCCCAUUAGAACUUGAAAAAUUUUCUUUGACAUGUGGAUUUGCAUCUAGUUUGACUCAUGAACGUUUGAGUAGAAUUGAAAAAGAGGUUACAAUGAGAACUAAGUUCCUUGAUCAUGAGAUAAAGGAAAUUAAAGCCCCAAAAUCAUCCUUUAAACGUAAACUUAUAAAUUAAAACAAGCCUGAGAAAUAUUUACCAGAACCAACAAAAUAGAACUGAUGGAAUAAAAUCAACGGUACCAAUUUUGUUGCACCAGAUGCGCAUUUCGACAAUACAUGUCUCUUCAGUGAUGCUCGUGCCCAAAAUAUUUGAAAUCCAAAGCAAAUGUGACGGGUACCAUUUAUCAAUUGUACUUAUAAUAACUACUUUUCUUAAAACUUCAAAUGUGUAUAUUUGUAUGCUGUUCAAUUCUAAAUUUCACUCUACUUAUUCAGAGACAAAGAUAGAAUCAGUGCAUUCCCUUUUUAGCUCACCUGGCCCGAAGGGCCAAGUGAGCUUUUCUCAUCACUUGGCGUCCUUCGUCCAUCGUCGUCGUCGUCCGUCGUCGUUAACUUUUACAAAAAUCUUCUCCUCUACAACUACUGGGCCAAAUCAAACCAAACUUGGCCACAAUCAUCAUUGGGGUAUCUAGUUUAAAAAAUGUGUGGCGUGACCCGGUCAACCAACCAAGAUGGCCGCCACGGCUAAAAAUAGAACAUAGGGGUAAAAUGCAGUUUUUGGCUUAUAACUCAAAAACCAAAGCAUUUUGAGGAAAUCUGACAUGGGAUAAAAAUGUUUAUCAGGUCAAGAUCUAUCUGCCCUGAAAUUUUCAGAUGAAUCCGUCAAUCGGUUGUUGGGUUGCUGCCCCUGAAUUGGUAAUUUUGAAGAAAUUUUGUUGUUUUUGGUUAUUAUCUUGAAUAUUAUUAUAGUUAGAGAUAAACUGUAACAGCAAUAAUGUUCAGCAAAGUAAGAUCUACAAAUAAGUCAACAUGACCAAAAUGGUCAGUUGACCUGUUUAGGAGUUAUUGGCCUUUAUAGUCAAUUUUUAACCAUUUUUCGUUAAUUAAAGUAAUCUUUUACAAAAAUCUUCUCCUCUGAAACUACUUGGCCAAAUUAAUCCAAACUUGGCCACAAUCAUCUUUGGGGUAUCUAGUUUAAAAAAUGUGUGGCGUGACCUGGUCAACCAACCAAGAUGGCCGCCACGGCUAAAAAUAGAACAAAGGGGUAAAAUGCAGUUUUUGGCUUAUAACUCAAAAACCAAAGCAUUUUGAGGAAAUCUGACAUGGGAUAAAAAAUGUGUAUCAGGUCAAGAUUUAUCUGCCCUGAAAUUUUCAGAUGAAUCGGUCAAUCGGUUGUUUGGUUGCUGCCCCUGAAUUGGUAAUUUUGAGGAAAUUUUGCUGUUUUUGGUUAUUAUCUUGAAUAUUAUUAUAGAUAGAGAUAAAUUUUAAACAGCAAUAAUGUUCAGCAAAGUAAGAUCUACAAAUAAGUCAACAUGACCAAAAUGGUCAGUUGACCCCUUUAGGAGUUAUUGCCCUUUAUAGUAAAUUUUUAACAAUUUUCAUUAAUUUGGUAAAUUUAUGUAAAUUUUUACCAAAUAUAGUUCUCUGUUACUAAUGGGCAAAGUUCAUGAUAGAUAUAAUUGUAAGAAGCAAAAUCGUUCAGUAAAGUAAGAACUUCAAACACAUCACCAUCACCAAAAUACAAUUUUGUCAUGAAUCCAUUUGUGUCCUUUGUUUAAUAUGCACAUAGACCAAGGUGAGCGACACAGGCUGUUUAGGAUUAUUUUUAUAAUUUUUAUUCAGAUUCAAAUAACUAACAACUGGCAGAAUAUGUUAUAAUGCAGUCAUUUUUAUUAUAGAAUUGUAUCUACUCUUUACUAUGGGGAAUGUUGGAAUUAAAUCUGUUAUUUACUGUUAUGUGACGGUCCCCGUAUUUAUUUACUUUCAUUGAACCGAGUGUUCUUUUUACUCGUAUGUACAUUUUUGAUUGUGUCAUGUGAACUUAUCUGUACAGUUUCCUCAAGUCAUUUCGGUAUAGGGAAUUACAAGUUUUAUGUCAUAACAUUUAGUUAAACUUCAUAACUUGUCGAAAUUCGUUGACAGACAAGCACCUGGUUUCCUUUCAGCGCCAUCGUUAGUUAACGGUACUGAAGCGUUUUCAUUGGUCAAACAAUUACGGAAGGUCACGAGUAUUUUUAGCUUAUUGGAAAGAAUUUUAAUUAUUAUAUUCUAUUUACAGAACGAACAUUUUAGCAAAUAUAAAGUCGCUGAGAAUGAUUUUUGUAUAUCUAUUUAAUAAAUAUAAACAUUUCAUAACGGCAGAAGUGAGAAAUGCCGCAAAUGAUUUCCAUUGGUUUACUGUUCAAUCUUGCAGUUGCACGGUAGAAAAUCGCACAGAAACUGCACGGAAAAUGCACAAAACUUGCACAAUUUUUAAGUACAAGUAUAAAAGAGAAAAACGCGAGUCUGACAUCAUUCUGGCUAAGACGUUGAUAAAAUAAUAAGGAGAUAUUCUUUUGAAAGUAAGAAUAAUAGAUUUACUUUACUUUUUGUAAAGUUUUUAACAUUUUAAAGUGCACAUAAUUGUUUAAAAACGAUUUAUGCAAAUAUUUUACCAAAAUUUCACGGAAAACUUGAGGAAUCUAGGAAAAUUAUGAGAAUUUGUCAUUGUUUAAUAAUAAUGGUUUAAAUUGAAUUACAAUACAUAAACCAUAGAAUUUACGUAUACAUAUUUUUCUGAUGAGAAAUUUCGUACGUUAAUAAUACUUUUUGCCGAAUCACUGUCUGAAGUUUUCAUGUAACAUAAUGGAAUAAUUUGGACAAAAUUUAUAUAGAAUUUUCAUGUCACUGAUAUAAAAGGGUGAUUUAUUUUUGCACUUGUUAAGGGUUCUAAUAGGGUUUUCAGACAAUGAGAUAAACAUAGAAAUACACAUUACUAGUGAAGGAAACUAGUACAAAUCUUCCAUAUUUUUGGUUAAAAGACCAAAACAGUUAGUCAAUCAUUUUGUAUAAUAAUACAAGUCAUCAUUUUUGUAAUCAAAUAUCUAUACAUGUAUAGUCAGUCAAAACUUUAAAGGAACAUUGUUAGUAAAAUAGAUGAUUGUACUACUUGCCAUAUUUUGUCAUUUUCUUCUGGUCACUUUUGAGACAAUCGUUUUUAGCCAAAGGAUACUAAAACAAUGUCUCAACAAACAUUAUUGCAAUAAAAUUAUAGUUCUUGAUUUUAACUUCACUAAAAUUCACUGUUAAGAAUAAAGGUCAAGGAAACAUGAGACUUACGUUUUUAGUAAAAGGAAGCUAAUACAAAGUUUUUACUAAACUCUAUCAUAAAUGUGAGACUUACGUUGUAAGUGAAAGGAAGCUAAUACAAAGUCUCUACUAAACUCUUGCCAUCAUAAUAAAAGCUUUCAAUAAGUCACAUAAUUGCCCAUAAGUAAACUUUGUAAUAACCAAGUUUGAAAAUCUAGACUAUAGUGUUAGCCUGUGGAAGCAAUUACACUGUUUAAGCAAAAUUCUAGUUCUUAUAAUUAUAAUAUUUAUUUUCAUGAUUUAUGUCCCAGUAUAAUUAGCGUGAGGUCAGAUGUACUUUUAAUACAUAAAUACCCAUUAUUUUGUUCUGUGAGGUCAGAUGUACUUUUAAUACAUAAAUACCCAUUAUUUUGUUCUGUGAGGUUAGAUGUACUUUUAAUACAUAAAUACCCAUUAUUUUGUUCUGUGAGGUCAGAUGUACUUGGAUACGUGAGUACAUAUAAUAUUUUUGUCCAUAUCUGCUCUUAUUCUCAACAAAAGAGAGAACAUCAUAGCAGUUAAUGUUACAGUAGUUAUACUCUUUAUGAGUAGUUUUAGUAUUUUUGAUCAACCUUUUAAAAGAUACCCUAGGCAAUAGUUGUCUGGAAAUUCACUUAAAGGUGUACUUAUUAUUGAUAAAUUUGCAAGUUGUUUUUCUUAUUGGUCUUGAGCUUGACUAAAAUUGUGAUCUCAAAUAUAUGCCACUGUUAUGUUAUUGUUAUGCUAUAUAUAUAUACUUUUGUCAGAAAUAAAGUAUUUGCAACUUUAAAUAUGAAUUGUUUGCUGUCAGUAUCAAGAACCCCUUCUUUCAGUUCAUUGUUAGGGUGUUGCCAGAGGUUUUGAUUUAAUACGUCGGGAUUUUAUAUCCAAAGUUUUCUGUGUAUGUGUUUCUGCCCUUUUCGCCAAUUGACCCGCUACAUUGUACACAUAUAUAAAAGAUGAAGAGCUAUAAUCCAAAAGGUCAAAAAAGUAUAGCCAAAUUCGUGAAAGGAAUCAGAGCUUUGCAUGAGGGAGAUACAUUCCUUAAUUUAUAAUAAUUUAUAAUAUUUUGUAACAGCAAAUUUUUAUAACACAAAAAAUCCGUAUUUUCAUGCCAAUACCGAAGUACUGGCUACUGGGCUGGUGAUACCCUCUGGGACUUAUAGUCCAACAGCAGAGGCAUCGACCCAGUGGUUGUAAUAAAAUCAACGGUACCAAUUUUGUUGCACCAGAUGCGUAUUUCGACAAUACAUGUCUCUUCAGUGAUGCUCGUGGCCAAAAUAUUUGAAAUCCAAAGCAUAUAUAAAAGAUGAAGAGCUAUAAUCCAAAAGGUCAAAAAAGUAUAGCCAAAUUCGUGAAAGAAAUCAGAGCUUUGCAUGAGGGAGAUACAUUCCUUAAAUUAUAAUAAUUUAUAAUAUUUUGUAACAGCAAAUUUUUAUAACACAAAAAAUCCGUAUUUUGGAAUAUGCACUAUAUUGGUAUGACAUAAAUAAAAAGAAUAAGAUAUAAGCACAAGAGUGAAAAUUCAGAUUUUCAAGAAAAAAAUAUAACAGCCCCUUUACAAAUGGAAAAAUUGCUAAAUUUCCAACUUUAGUUUGCCUCAACUUAAUGCUAUGAAAAUUAUACACAAUGCUUAUUACCGCAGAAUACAGACCAAGAUUGAAUUUAAUUGGUGUCACUUUAAAUUUUCCAGAGCUAAAUUCAGAAUGUAAGGAUCAACCUACUGUCCAAUUAAAAAAAUCCAACAACUCCUUAUAUGCAUGAGUUACUGCCCUUAAAAGAACAUUGUAUUAGCUAUUAAUUACACAACACAUCAAAAGACAUCUUUUUUUAUACCUUUGAGCUCUUCUACAGUAGAAUGUAAAAAAAAAAGCUUAGUGAAUAUGUUUUCAAUAUGUUCAAGUUUGUUUUCUAGUUUGUUAAUGCAUCGUUAUUCAAAUUUAAACAUUUUGUCCAUUUUAGGCAUUUAUCAGCAUCAGU